AGAUGGAAAAUCAUAAAUCUAAUACUAUCAAGGAAAACUUAACAAUCUUUGAUAUCAUAACCAGAAAAAUUAACCAGCUUCCACAAGCAGAAAGGAAUCUACCUGAAGAGGGAUCAGCAUAUGUUGGAUUUAAUGCUCUCUGUGGCCUCAUAGCAAAUGGUCUUUUUCAAUGCGUCUUGAACAUGACACAGGCUCUUACAGCUGCUGGCUUACCAAUGGCAGUGAUCCCUUUUCUUACAACAAACACAGCUUACAAAAGUUUUGUAAAUUUUCCUUCGAAUACAGGUGAUUUGAAUUGUGAAACGUGUACCAUAACACAGAGUGGAUUGGUCUUGCUUUUGGUGGUCUAUACCCUCUUUUCUUGUCUAUACCUGUGACUGGAGGCCUAGCAGCCUGGUAUGAAUCAACUCUGUUACCAGAGAAAGGGAACAUCUUAAGUUACUGGAUUCAAAUUUAUAAGCCUGUCUUUAGAAAGAUGUUAUUUCCUAUUGUGUUCCAGACUGUGUUUGCAGCAUUCCUUGGGUUUAAACAAUAUAAACUACUUCUAAAGGCCCUUCAGUUACCUGAACCUGGCAGAGAAAUUCAUUGA
rnacentral:lncRNA from 1 species